rnacentral:rRNA from 1 species
CUAGCGUUGUUCGGAAUUACUGGGCGUAAAGAGCUCGUAGGUGGUUUGUCGCGUUGUUCGUGAAAACUCACAGCUUAACUGUGGGCGUGCGGGCGAUACGGGCAGACUGGAGUACUGCAGGGGAGACUGGAAUUCCUGGUGUAGCGGUGGAAUGCGCAGAUAUCAGGAGGAACACCGGUGGCGAAGGCGGGUCUCUGGGCAGUAACUGACGCUGAGGAGCGAAAGCGUGGGGAGCGAACAGG